rnacentral:rRNA from 1 species
UGAGGAAUAUUGGGCAAUGGACGCAAGUCUGACCCAGCCAUGCCGCGUGAAGGAUGAAGGCCCUAUGGGCUGUAAACUUCUUUUAUACGGGAAAAAACCAACGGUCGUGUAUCGGUGAUGAUGGUACCGUACGAAUAAGCAUCGGCUAACUCCGUGCAAGCAGCCGCGGUAAUACGGAGGAUGCAAGCGUUAUCCGGAUUCAUUGGGUUUAAAGGGUGCGCAGGCGGAUUAAUAAGUCAGUGGUGAAAUCCUACGGCUCAACUGUAGAACUGCUAUUGAUACUGUUAGUCUUGAGUAUGGUUGAGGUAGGCGGAAUGUGUCAUGUAGCGGUGAAAUGCUUAGAUAUGACACAGAACACCAAUCGCGAAGGCAGCUUACCAAGCAAUAACUGACGCUCAUGCACGAAAGCGUGGGGAUCAAACA